rnacentral:sRNA from 1 species
GCCGGGCGUUGUGGCGGGCGCCUGUGGUCCCAGCUACUUGGGAGGCAGAGGCGGGAGACUCGCUUGAGCCCAGGAGUUGGAGGUUGCUGUGAGCUGUAAUGCCAUGGCACUCUACCCAGGGGGAUAGCUUGAGGCUCUGUCUCAAAAAAAAAAAAAAAAGAAAAAGAAAAACAAACUUUUUUUUGAAACAGUCUCACCUUGUCCCCCUUGGUGGAGUGCUAUGGUAUCACAGCUCACAGCAACUUCUGUCUUCUGGGCUUAGGUGAUUCUCUUGC